GAAAAUGAAAAAAAUGAAAAAAUUGAGUUUUGCAGAAACGUGUUAUUUCUUUUUCCAUUUCGAUCUUAUCCUAUUUCUCUUUACCUUCGGUGUGAAUUGAGAUAACCUAGAGAGGAGAUGCCCUAAUUCUUCUCUGCUCUGAGGCAGAAAUUGAAUCAACAAAUUCAACCAACAAUGAAGAAGAUGAAUAAUAAUAUAGCAGAUGAUGAUUGGUUUGAAGUCUGUCUACGUCUUCCUUUUGAUUCAAUCUUCAGAUUCAAGUGUGUUUCGAAGUUUUGCAGAACAAAACCCUACAGCCCGACUUAACUCAGGGUUUCCAUGUCCUGAGUUGAAUUCACAGUUUAUAUCUCAUCUUCAAAGUGUUAGCGGGUUCUCUCUUAGAUUCGUUAAUAAAAAGCAUGAGUUGUCGACUACAAAUUUAUACAUUCUAGGGUUUGGUUCUAUGCACAACUGAAUUUUCAAGUCAGAACAAUAAUUAUGUUUGUAAUCCACUCACUAAGAAAUGGGUUUCACUCCCACCACCACCAAGAGAAGCAAUCAAGGUUCACACUGGUUUUACAUGGGAAUCAUCACUAAUUUCUACGAGUUAUAAGGUUAUUCGUGUUUCUCAAGAAGAGGAUUCAUUCAAAAAUUGAUAUAUUUACUUCUGAUUUGGGUAAAUGGAAUGUCUAUGAUGUUUUAUAUACUCCUGGUGUAUGUCAGAGAUACUCCAUUUAUGACAAUUAUGUUACCCAUAAUGGCAUUUUUUACUGGUUCCAAAAGUUAUUCAACGAAGUUCUGGCUUUCAGUGUUGAUGGAAUCAACGACCAUCAAACUUGCGGCAACGAGUUUAGAAUGAUUAAUUUGCCUGAUCGAAUGAUGGAUGAUGCGGACAGUUAUUUUUUUCAAUCUAUUAAUGAACAAAAAAGGUUUUUCCAUCAAUGUCUAGGGGAAUCAGAAGGAUUGAUUUGUUACGCUAUUAUCAAACAUACAGAGGGGAGUUUGAGUGUUUGGGUACUUGAAGAAAACUGGUAUUUGUUGCACAAGGAUAUCGAAUUUUGUGACAUGCUAGCACAAAUGGAAUCUUCGUUAUUUGGAGGAGAAAGUACAGUUGAUUUGAUUAGAGAUAUUCAGGUUAUAGGUUUCAAUCCGGUUGACAAAAAUGUGGUUAUAAUUAGCUACAAGAAGCACAUUUUGGCUUACAACAUCAGAAACGGGGGAUGUGAACAACUCUCUCAUCCGUCUUUCUUGGGUAGCAAUCAUCCAGGUCCUUAUUCGGGUAUUUCAACAUUUGCUUUAAAGCCAAGGCCGACAAUACUUCCACCAGUCUCUUGGUGAACAACUCUCCCAUCCUUCGUUCCUGCAUCCCAAUCAACAUUUGCUAUAAAGCCAAGUCCGUCAGUACUUCCACCAGUCUCUUGGUGAAACACCUCAAUGUUGGAUGUUCAAUUAUGAAAGUAAGAGUGAAGGUGCGUAUCAUCAUAUUUCUUGUUUCAACAGAUAUUUAGGGAGUAGACUAGUUACUGUUACAUUCAAGAAAAAGAGACUUUGAGUCUUUGGUAAUUGCUUAAGAAGCAUGAAAUUGUCAUGUUUCCACUUGCAUGGAAUUACUUUGCUGUUGAGCUUUAAUCCAUCCAAUUUUAUUUUUGAAAGUUUUA